rnacentral:rRNA from 1 species
UACGUAGGGGGCAAGCGUUGUCCGGAUUUAUUGGGCGUAAAGAGCGUGUAGGCGGCCAAGUAGGUCCGUUGUGAAAACUCGAGGCUCAACCUCGAGACGCCGAUGGAAACCAUUUGGCUAGAGUCCGGAAGAGGAGAGUGGAAUUCCUGGUGUAGCGGUGAAAUGCGCAGAUAUCAGGAAGAACACCCGUGGCUAAGGCGGCUCUCUAGUACGGUACUGACGCUGAGACGCGAAAGCGUGGGGAGCAAACAGG